CUCAAUUGGCGAAGAAACAAAGUGUAACUUUAUAUUGUGUAUACUGUAUAGGCAUUUAAUAAUCCGGCCAUAACAGAAUUUUUAAAUUCUGUUCCAUUAUCGACAACUAUUUGGUUGGGGAUUCUAUGAUGGGAAAAGUUUUUAAUAAGAUUAUCGGCGAUUUCUGUGCUCGUGACUCGUGAGGUUUCGGCAAUUCCGCGAUGGUUUAAUUUUCCUUCAUAUUAGUUUGGGAUGAUUUCCCUUAUGCUGUUCUUAUCAGUUAGGGAAUUCUAAUCAUUGUCGCCGCUUUGUAGUACUAUUGAUAAUUUUUCGUAAACGUUCGGUUUUUCGAAGUAAGUACAUGCAUUGAGUAAGGAAUCUGGAUUCAGUUUCCUUAAUGCAUAAGUAUAAGUGAUAAGUGACAUCUAAUUCUUUAUCGAAGUUAAUUAGAUACGUAAUUCGUCAAGAUCGAAAUUAUUUUCUGAAAAUUCAACUUCGAUUCUUUGCUUACAACAAGUUCAGUGAAGAUUUGCUAGUUUGCGUAAUUAAUGGGGUAAUUUGCAAUUUACAAAAUUGGGCUUCUCUCAGCGUUAGAGGGCACUAUGUGAGCUUCAUCGUUACGUUUAGGAUUUUUAGUGCAUUUUUUAAGAAUUAUAAAAAAUGGGCUAUUGUUUGCGUUUUGUCCGUCCGAGCCCACU